UUCGAAGAUAUUUUAAUCAGUACUUUCGUCAUAUGAAUGUUAUUGUCAUUUGUACAAACCAAGCAAAGUAGAAUAUUUCAACUAAACCUUAGCUCUUACAAUGCAAAAUAAAUCAUCCCGUGACCCAUUCGAUACACAAGUCUUCAACAUAUCACUUUUAUUUUGUGUGGUGUGUGAUCCCUUUCUAAUGUUUUCAGGACUGUUCUGAACAUCAUUUGACCGGGCUUCAUUUUAUUAGCAUUAGCAUUAGCGUAACGAAACAUCAGUUUCUUGUGCAAGUUUCUCCAAAAUCUGGCUUCAUCGUAACAAUUCGAUUCACAAUGACUUCACAUGACAAAAAGCAUAAUGAGCAGGCAUUAAAUACACAGAACGUGACAGGGAUCUGUUGAAGGACAUUACAAUAGGUGUCUGUGCAGGAGACAAACUGGUCAUGAUGGUGGGUAGGAUUCGGCUUCAGUAUCAUAAGUUAAAAAAAAAGAAUAGAAAAGAAAUCUAGUACAAGUCAAAGGAUACAAAUAUACAGUGAACAGGAAGUGGGCAAAAUCAUCUGGUACUGGAAGUAAGCCCAGGAGGUUGACCAAUAGCAGCAGCGAACCACCAGGGGGCGACUUUGCAGAGUUAAUCACCGUUCAAAGGGAAGUCCACAGAUUAAACUUUUUUGUUUUAAAACACCAGGAAACAUUUUUUUAAUGUGUAGUUCAUGGUCUUGUGUGCAGAACACAUUUGUAUUUUAUAAACAGAUACAGUUCAGUACAGGCCUGAAUCUAAACUACACUGUUCAACAUGGCACCGGUCAAUUUCAUUAUAUCAAGGCUGUAAAACCAGACUUUAAUUUUCCAAAAUAAAUGUCUGCACUGAUGUGUCACAUACAGUCAACGUUUUCAUGUUACAUCUUCAUUUCAUUCUGCUUAACAUACAAACAUACACACAUUUUUUAUUUUAUUUUCAUAAAUAACAAUGUGCACGAGACUCUCUCAAGAGGGCAGCAAACUGGUUACACAGCAAUUCAGUAGCUACACAAGAACACCUACACACGGUACAUAAUGUGCAUCAUGUCAAAAAACAAAAAUAAAACACAAACAGAACCCUUUGACGUGUCAAAUUAAGAAUAGUGAACCAUUAAAAGCCCCAACAUCUUUUAAAGAUCACUACAAGUUAGACGGAAAGACAUUGUAGCUGGAUUUGCUAACGAGCUAGCAUCUGUCCAUCUGAUAAACACGAGGCAUUUUUCAAACAUUAAGACAAAACAGCAACACCUUCACAGACACUAGUGAGUCAGAAGAGCAAGUGAAGUGAGUUCCAAUAUCGACAGAACUUUUCAAUGUCACAUGACACUGUUACUACAGGUACUAACACCCAGUAAUAAAAUAUAAUUAAUUUCAUGAAGCCAUUACAGGUAUUUUUACAGGUGUUGUACUACAGUACAUUCUACUGCAUUGGCAGGUACUUUUCCAAAUCGAUUUAUUCUGACUAAUAACUUAAGAGUUAUGUCCAUUAUGUUUUUUCUGGGAUUUUUUUUAUGAUUGGAUUUAAAACGUAUCUAUAUAUUUAUUCCAAUUUUAACUGUACUCUGACUUAAAACUUCACGACAACAAAUGGAAAAUCUUAUGAGGAAGACUUCACCUUUGGAAAUGGAGGUUAACCUUAUGACCUCUUCAGUGUUAAUUAAAUGAAAAGCAUUUGGUUUGUAAUCGUGACAUUGUUUGUAUGAAAAAGAAGCACACAAAGGUAGUUUGUGCUUUGGUCAGUGUUUGCAUGAAGACAAGAGUAAAACAAAAAGACUUCCUCAUCACUCACUUUUUUGGAAGGUUGGGAAAAAGAAGGAAGACUGUGGUGUUUUAAACUUUGUAUCUGUAUGUAGGAAAAUUAGUGGAAUUUCACACAAGAUUCUCUUCUAAAGUUUAAGCUUUUCUAGAAUGUUCACUGGCCUGUCCACUAAGAAAAGGCUAACUCUUAGUAGGUAGCCACACAGCAAUUUUGUUGAGGUCCAAUGACAGGGCACACCUCUCUUUCACAUGAGUUCAAGGCAUUGACAAUUUAUGGGCCGCACUCCUGACAAGCCUACACCAAAUGUAACUACCAAGACAUUUUGUAGACCAAACCAGUUGGGGUUCAAUCCAUAGGUCAUUGCCUUAUAUGGGCACCAGGAGAACUAAAUACAUAAACUGAAUAAAAAGAAAUCUCCAAGUAAACAGUGAUCGUUUUCCCUCAGUCUCCCCUUAAAGGCAUUCAUGGUGUUGCAAUAGGUUUCAUUCAUAAACCAAAACCAAAAACAAAACAAAAACAUGCGCCUCUGAGUAAAUGAUCUCAGCUGUAGUGACUCGCUGACAAACAUUAACAAUAAAACAUCCUCGUGUCUGUAACAUUACCUGCCAGGUGAAUCGAGUGUACUUUUUCAGAUGUCACGAUGUGAUGUGAUCAGAAUUCUAUCUCACAGCUGUGGUAUUUACUCCGUAGAAAGUGUAGAAACACGUCCUUCCUGAAAUGUAGUGGACAACAUGCAAUACAGCUCAAGUGGUUGAAAGCAUGCUGAGAGCUUUAGAGUGGUAUCUGUCGCCGUCACACAGUCAGCAGUGGAUGGACUGUCACGGAGAGUCCCCGGUGUUAAAAACACACCUCUGUCUCCUCCUCCUCCUUCUGUGUUCCUUGACUACAGACGGUCUGUUGACGAGCAGUCGUUCAGAGCUGGGAAAUAAACACUAGACUGAGUUUAAGAUAUAAAUGUCUGCAUGCAUGUGGAUACGUGAUUAAUUUAACAUCCUUGUCCACCAAUGGUGUGUGUGUCUGUAUGUGUGUGUGUGUGUGUGUCACAGU